GGCAGUAAAGGUCGUAACAAGGUAUCCGUAGGUGAACCUGCGGAAGGAUCAUUAUUGUAUAACCGAGGUGCGAGGGCUGUCGCUGACCCGAAAGGUCGUGCACGCCCGAGUGCCCUCACACACAUCCAUCUCACCCCUAUGUGCACCACCGCGUGGGUCCCCCUUUGGCUUGUUCGGAGGGGGGCUUACGUUUUCACACAAACUUUGUAUGCAGUGUAGAAUGUAUUUUUUGUUUUUGCGAUCACGCAAUCAAUACAGCUUUCAACAACGGAUCUCUUGGCUCUC
rnacentral:misc_RNA from 1 species